rnacentral:rRNA from 1 species
UACGUAGGGGGCAAGCGUUAUCCGGAUUUACUGGGUGUAAAGGGAGCGCAGACGGCAGUGCAAGUCUGGAGUGAAAGCCCGGGGCCCAACCCCGGGACUGCUCUGGAAACUGUACGGCUAGAGUACGGGAGGGGCAGGCGGAAUUCCUAGUGUAGGGGUGAAAUGCGUAGAUAUUAGGAGGAACACCGGCGGCGAAGGCGGCCUGCUGGACCGAAACUGACGUUGAGGCUCGAAAGCGUGGGGAGCAAACAGG